UACAGAGGUCCCAAGCGUUGUUCGGAUUCACUGGGCGUAAAGGGUGCGUAGGCGGUCGGGUAAGUCUGAUGUGAAAUCUCACAGCUUAACUGUGAAACUGCAUUGGAUACUAUCCGGCUCGAGGAAUGGAGGGGAGACUGGAAUACUUGGUGUAGCAGUGAAAUGCGUAGAUAUUCGCAAGAACACCAGUGGCGAAGGCGGCUCACUGGCCCGAUACUGACGCUGAGGCACGAAAGCGUGGGGGGCAAACAGG
rnacentral:rRNA from 1 species